AAAUUGAAGAGUUUGAUCAUGGCUCAGAUUGAACGCUGGCGGCAGGCCUAACACAUGCAAGUCGAACGGUAACAGGAAACAGCUUGCUGUUUCGCUGACGAGUGGCGGACGGGUGAGUAAUGUCUGGGAAACUGCCUGAUGGAGGGGGAUAACUACUGGAAACGGUAGCUAAUACCGCAUAACGUCGCAAGACCAAAGAGGGGGACCUUAGGGCCUCUUGCCAUCGGAUGUGCCCAGAUGGGAUUAGCUAGUAGGUGGGGUAAAGGCUCACCUAGGCGACGAUCCCUAGCUGGUCUGAGAGGAUGACCAGCCACACUGGAACUGAGACACGGUCCAGACUCCUACGGGAGGCAGCAGUGGGGAAUAUUGCACAAUGGGCGCAAGCCUGAUGCAGCCAUGCCGCGUGUAUGAAGAAGGCCUUCGGGUUGUAAAGUACUUUCAGCGGGGAGGAAGGGAGUAAAGUUAAUACCUUUGCUCAUUGACGUUACCCGCAGAAGAAGCA
rnacentral:rRNA from 1 species